UUGAACGCUGGCGGUAUGCUUUACACAUGCAAGUCGAACGGAUUUUGGAGCUUGCUCCAAAGUUAGUGGCGAACGGGUGAGUAAUAUAUCGGAACAUGUCCGGAAGUGGGGGAUAACGUAGCGAAAGUUACGCUAAUACCGCAUAUGCCCUGAGGGGGAAAGGAGGGGAUCGCAAGACCUUUCGCUUUCGGAGUGGCCGAUAUCGGAUUAGCUAGUAGGUGAGGUAAAGGCUCACCUAGGCGACGAUCCGUAGCUGGUCUGAGAGGACGACCAGCCACACUGGAACUGAGACACGGUCCAGACUCCUACGGGAGGCAGCAGUGGGGAAUUUUGGACAAUGGGCGCAAGCCUGAUCCAGCCAUACCGCGUGAGUGAAGAAGGCCUUCGGGUUGUAAAGCUCUUUCAGCCGGAAAGAAAUCGCAUUUAUUAAUACUGAAUGUGGAUGACGGUACCGGAAGAAGAAGCACCGGCUAACUACGUGCCAGCAGCCGCGGUAAUACGUAGGGUGCGAGCGUUAAUCGGAAUUACUGGGCGUAAAGCGUGCGCAGGCGGUUCUGUAAGACAGAUGUGAAAUCCCCGGGCUUAACCUGGGAACUGCAUUUGUGACUGCAAGACUAGAGUGUAGCAGAGGGGGGUAGAAUUCCACGUGUAGCAGUGAAAUGCGUAGAGAUGUGGAGGAAUACCAAUGGCGAAGGCAGCCCCCUGGGUUAACACUGACGCUCAUGCACGAAAGCGUGGGGAGCAAACAGGAUUAGAUACCCUGGUAGUCCACGCCCUAAACGAUGUCAACUAGGUGUUGGGGAAGGAGACUUCUUUAGUACCGCAGCUAACGCGUGAAGUGACCGC
rnacentral:rRNA from 1 species